UGAAUACGAGGCACUAAGGUGCUGAAGUAGUGUAUGUCAUACUUCCAUAAAAGCUUGCACUAUCGUAAGAUAAAAAUGCCUGUACCAUAACCGACACAGGUGGGUAGGUAGAGUAUACUAAGGGGCGCGAGAUAACUCUCUCUAAGGAACUCGGCAAAAUAACUCCGUAACUUCGGGAGAAGGAGUGCCUUAUUCUAUAAGGUUGCAAUAACAAGAUCCAAGCAACUGUUUAUCAAAAACACAGGUCUCCGCUAAGUCGUAAGACGAUGUAUGGGGGCUGACGCCUGCCCAGUGUCAGAAGGUUAAAGAAGUCGGUUAGCAAUUGCGAAGCUGGUAACUGAAGCCCUGGUGAACGGCGGCCGUAACAAUAACGGUCCUAAGGUAGCGAAAUUCCUUGUCGGGUAAGUUCCGACCCGCACGAAAGGCGUAAUGAUUUGGAUACUGUCUCGGAGAGGGACUCGGUGAAAUAGACUUGUCUGUGGAGAUGCGGACUACCUGCACCAGGACAGAAAGACCCUAUGAAGCUUUACUGUAACUUGAAAUUGAAAUUGGACUUUAUUCGCGCAGUAUAGGUGGGAGGCGUUGAUUAUAAUCUUGUGGGAUUAUUGGAGCCAUUAGUGAGAUACCACUCUUGUAAUGUUAGAUUUCUAACUUUGAAUCAUGAUCUGGUCAAAGAACAGUUUCAGGCGGGCAGUUUGACUGGGGCGGUCGCCUCCUAAAUGGUAACGGAGGCGUACAAAGGUUUCCUCUGAACGGGUAGAAAUCGUAUCUAGAGUGUAAAGGCAUAAGGAAGCUUGACUGUGAGACCUACAAGUCGAGCAGGGACGAAAGUCGGUCUUAGUGAUCUGACGGUACUGAGUGGAAAGGCCGUCACUCAACGGAUAAAAGUUACUCUAGGAUAACAGGCUGAUCUCCCCCAAGAGUUCACAUCGACGGGGAGGUUUGGCACCUUGAUGUCGGCUCAUCGCAUCCUGGGGCGGUAGUACGUCCCAAGGGUUGGGCUGUUCGCCCAUGAAAGCGGUACGCGAGCUGGGUUCAGAACGUCGUGAGACAGUUCGGUCCAUAUCCGGUGUAGGCGUUAGAAUAUUGAGAGGAGCCUUCUUUAGUACGAGAGGACCGAGAAGGACAUACCUCUGGUGUACCAGUUAUCGUGCCAACGGUAAACGCUGGGUAGCUAUGUAUGGAGUGGAUAACCGCUGAAAGCAUCUAAGUGGGAAGCCCACCUCAAGAUAAGUAUUCUCACC
rnacentral:rRNA from 1 species